rnacentral:pre_miRNA from 1 species
CAUGACCCAAUGGCUCCAGAAAUCAAGGGUGGGUAAGACCUCGUAAGAACAGUUGAAGGCGACCCAUACUUGGUUUCAGGGGCUUUGAGGGUAUAGUC